rnacentral:rRNA from 1 species
GUAGGCGGCAAGCGUUGUCCGGAAUUAUUGGGCGUAAAGCGCGCGCAGGUGGUUCGUUUAAGUCUGAUGUGAAAGACCCCCGGGCUCAACCGGGGAGGGUCAUUGGAAACUGGGGAACUUGAGUGCAGGAGAGGAAAGUGGAAUUCCACGUGUAGCGGUGAAAUGCGUAGAUAUGUGGAGGAACACCAGUGGCGAAGGCGACUUUCUGGCCUGUAACUGACACUGAGGCGCGAAAGCGUGGGGAGCAAACAGGAUUAGAUACCCUGGUAGUCCACGCCGUAAACGAUGAGUGCUAAGUGUUCGGGGGGUUUCCGCCCCUCAGUGCUGCAGCUAACGCAUUAAGCACUCCGCCUGGGGAGUACGGUCGCAAAGACUG